GACGAACGCUGGCGGCGUGCUUAACACAUGCAAGUCGAACGGAAAGGCCCUGCUUGCCGGGUACUCGAGUGGCGAACGGGUGAGUAACACGUGGGUGAUCUGCCCUGCACUUCGGGAUAAGCCUGGGAAACUGGGUCUAAUACCGGAUAGGAGCCAUUUUUAGUGUGAUGGUUGGAAAGUUUUUUCGGUGUAGGAUGAGCUCGCGGCCUAUCAGCUUGUUGGUGGGGUAAUGGCCUACCAAGGCGGCGACGGGUAGCCGGCCUGAGAGGGUGGACGGCCACAUUGGGACUGAGAUACGGCCCAGACUCCUACGGGAGGCAGAAGUGGGGAAUAUUGCACAAUGGGCGCAAGCCUGAUGCAGCGACGCCGCGUGGGGGAUGACGGCCUUCGGGUUGGAAACUCCUUUCGCUAGGGACGAAGCUUUUUGUGACGGUACCUAGAUAAGAAGCACCGGCUAACUACGUG
rnacentral:rRNA from 1 species